rnacentral:rRNA from 1 species
UACGGGGGGGGCAAGCGUUGUUCGGAAUUACUGGGCGUGAAGGGCCAGUAGGCGGCCAACUAAGUCGGAUGUGAAAUCCCCAGGCUUAACCUGGGAACUGCAUCCGAUACUGGAUGGCUUGAAUUCGGGAGAGGGAUGCAGAAUUCCAGGUGUAGCGGUGAAAUGCGUAGAUAUCUGGAGGAAUACCGGUGGCGAAGGCGGCAUCCUGGACCGACAUUGACGCUGAACGGCGAAAGCUAGGGGAGCAAACGGG